rnacentral:rRNA from 1 species
AAUGAACGCUGGCGGCAGGCCUAACACAUGCAAGUCGAACGGAACCUUCGGGAUUAGUGGCGGACGGGUGAGUAACGCGUGGGAACAUACCCUUUGGUACGGAAUAGCCUCGGGAAACUGGGAGUAAUACGGUAUGUGGUCGAGAGACGAAAGGAUUAUUCGCCAAAGGAUUGGCCAGCGUUGGAUUAGGUAGUUGGUGGGGUAAUGGGCUACCAAGCCGACGAUCCAUAGCUGGUUUGAGAGGAUGAUCAGCCACACUGGGACUGAGACACGGCCCAGACUCCUACGGGAGGCAGCAGUGGGGAAUCUUAGACAAUGGGGGAAACCCUGAUCUAGCCAUGCCGCGUGAUCGAUGAAGGCCUUAGGGUUGUAAAGAUCUUUCAGGUGGGAAGAUAAUGACUGUACCACCAGAAGAAGCCCCGGCUAACUCCGUGCCAGCCGCCGCCGUAA